GAUGAACGCUGGCGGCGUGCCUAAUACAUGCAAGUCGAGCGAACAGACGAGGAGCUUGCUCCUCUGACGUUAGCGGCGGACGGGUGAGUAACACGUGGAUAACCUACCUAUAAGACUGGGAUAACUUCGGGAAACCGGAGCUAAUACCGGAUAAUAUAUUGAACCGCAUGGUUCAAUAGUGAAAGACGGUUUUGCUGUCACUUAUAGAUGGAUCCGCGCCGCAUUAGCUAGUUGGUAAGGUAACGGCUUACCAAGGCAACGAUGCGUAGCCGACCUGAGAGGGUGAUCGGCCACACUGGAACGGGGACAGGGUCCAGACGCCUGCGGGAGGCAGCAGUAGGGAAUCUGCCGCAAUGGGCGAAAGCCUGACGGAGCAACGCCGCGUGAGUGAUGAAGGUCUUCGGAUCGUAAAACUCUGUUAUUAGGGAAGAACAAAUGUGUAAGUAACUAUGCACGUCUUGACGGUACCUAAUCAGAAAGCCACGGCUAACUACGUG
rnacentral:rRNA from 1 species